UAAUUUGGUCAAAAUCUCUAAAUAACCUACGUAAUAUAAAUGAGAAUACAUACCAACGAGUAUUUGUACCACCAGUUGAAUACAUGGCCCCAUCAUGAUGGAUAGAUGACUUGUGCGUUUGAAUCUUUUCCUGUAAGAACUCUGUCACCAAACUUGUAAGAUGUGCAAUUUGUUUCUGUUCUUCCUCUCGCUCUUUUCUUUCCUCCUCACGCUCUCUCCUCUCCUGCUCCAAUUGCCUCCGCAGCUCCUCAUGCUCCAUCUUCAUCUCCUCCAUCUUAGCUUUAAGUCUGCAACUCCCCAACAUGGUCUUGUGACACACGACUAGGUGUGGAAGAAGAUGAAGAGGGCUUCGGCCCAACCCUAAAUCCAAGAAUUUAUCUCUUCCUUUUUCCAAGUGCUUGCCUAGACAUCUCCUCUGAUGUUAAUUGCACACCGGAUUGGGAAGAUUCUUCUCGCAAGCUCAACAUCUUUGACUGUCAAUGCAAAGGUAA
rnacentral:lncRNA from 1 species